rnacentral:misc_RNA from 1 species
UCCGGUUUGACCCCGGCAGUCUCCCAUGAGUCCCCACCAUAACGUGCUGGCAACAUGGAACGAGGGUUGCGCUCGUUGCGGGACUUAACCCAACAUCUCACGACACGAGCUGACGACAGCCAUGCACCACCUGUCACGAGCCCCGAAGGACCCCGCAUCUCUGCGAGUUUUCCCGUGAUGUCAAACCCAGGUAAGGUUCUUCGCGUCGCAUCGAAUUAAACCACAUGCUCCACCGCUUGUGCGGGCCCCCGUCAAUUCCUUUGAGUUUCAGCCUUGCGGCCGUACUCCCCAGGCGGGGCACUUAAUGCGUUAGCGCCGGCACCCAGGGGGUCGCUCCCCCAGGCACCUAGUGCCCAUCGUUUACGGCGUGGACUAC